rnacentral:rRNA from 1 species
CCUACGGGAGGCAGCAGUGGGGAAUCUUAGACAAUGGGGGCAACCCUGAUCUAGCCAUGCCGCGUGAGUGAUGAAGGCCUUAGGGUCGUAAAGCUCUUUCGCCUGUGAUGAUAAUGACAGUAGCAGGUAA